UUCUGGUGGUCUAGUGGUUAGAGCGUCCACCUUGGAUGCAGGAGGUUGCAGGUUCAAACCCCGGCCGAGUCAU